CGCUGACCGGAGGUGGCUCCGACGGGGAUCCUCCGACGGUCAAGUCAGAGAGGAGACUAGGCAACAGUGAAAAGAAAACAAGGAGCUCAACGAGAGAGAGCUAAAGAAGAGGGGUUCAGGGAUUUCGAAUGGACCUCUAGCACUGUUGCCUUCCCCGAUAUAUAUAGUGGAGCAUGGUAUGGCGCUGUCAUUAAUGGCGCG
rnacentral:lncRNA from 1 species